rnacentral:rRNA from 1 species
GACAUAGGUCGCAAACGUUAUCCGGAAUUAUUGGGCGUAAAGGAUGCGUAGAUGGUUCAAUAAGUUACUGGUGGGAAAUCGAGGCUCAACCUCGUGGAAGUCAGUAAUACUGUUGAACUUGAGUGCAGGAGAGGUUAACGGAACUUUAUGUGGAGCGGUAAAAUGCGUAGAUAUAUGAAAGAACAUCAAUAUGGCGAAGGCAGUUAACUAUUCUGUUACUGACGUUGAGGCAUGAAAAGCGUGGGGAGCAAAACGG